UACGGGGGGGGCAAGCGUUGUUCGGAAUUACUGGGCGUAAAGGGCUCGUAGGCGGCCAACUAAGUCGGACGUGAAAUCCCUCAGCUUAACUGGGGAACUGCGUCUGAUACUGGAUGGCUUGAGUUUGGGAGAGGGAUGCGGAAUUCCAGGUGUAGCGGUGAAAUGCGUAGAUAUCUGGAGGAACACCGGUGGCGAAGGCGGCAUCCUGGACCAACACUGACACUGAGGAGCGAAAGCCAGGGGAGCAAACGGG
rnacentral:rRNA from 1 species